CCUCUCCGUCAUCCAGCAGAGGCGGGAAAUGGAGGAACGGACGUGGCUUACGAGUUCGAGUCCCAUUCCCGAAAAGGCUGUUUGUCAACCUCCUGAAUAGCAUAAUACAAAGUUUAAAUAGAGACGGAGUUUUGCUCUUGUUGCCCAGGCAAGUGUGCAAUGGCGCGAUCUUGGCUCACGGCAACCUCCACCCACCGGGUUCAGGCGAUUCUCCUGCCUCAGCCUUCCGAGUAGCUGGGAUUACAGGACAAACAGAACCCACUGCACACUACAGCAAGAGUAGCCAAGAUGUUGACCGUCUGAAACAAGGUA